GCCAGACUCCUACGGGAGGCAGCAGUGGGGAAUAUUGCGCAAUGGGGGAAACCCUGACGCAGCAACGCCGCGUGAGUGAGGAAGUAUCUCGGUAUGUAAAGCUCUAUCAGCGGGGAAGAAGGAAGACGGUACCCGACUAAGAAGCCCCGGCUAACUACGUGCCAGCAGCCGCGGUAAUACGUAGGGGGCAAGCGUUAUCCGGAUUUACUGGGUGUAAAGGGAGCGUAGACGGCAUGGCAAGUCUGAUGUGAAAACCCGGGGCUCAACCCCGGGACUGCCCUUGGAACUGCAUGGCUGGAGUGCGGGAGGGGCAGGCGGAAUUCCUGGUGUAGCGGUGAAAUGCGUAGAUAUCAGGAGGAACACCGGCGGCGAAGGCGGCCUGCUGGACCGCGACUGACGUUGAGGCUCGAAAGCGUGGGGAGCGAACAGGAUUAGAUACCCGUGUA
rnacentral:rRNA from 1 species